UUACACACUUGAUCUGCCACCUGAAUUAACGAGGGAGAUCAAGUGGUCAACGUUUUUUUUUUGUUAUUUUCUGAUUUUCUUUUAUUCCUUUUAUUUUCAUUAAUUCAUAUUAAUUUUAAUAUUGAUCCAUAAAAAAUGAAAGUUUCACCAAAAAUUUUCAAAUAAUUUCCUCUUUCAUAUUCUGAAUUAAAAUUAUUUUUUGGAUCAUUA
rnacentral:lncRNA from 1 species